GACGAACGCUGGCGGCGUGCUUAACACAUGCAAGUCGAACGGAAAGGCCCUGCUUUUGUGGGGUGCUCGAGUGGCGAACGGGUGAGUAACACGUGAGUAACCUGCCCUUGACUUUGGGAUAACUACAGGAAACUGGGGCUAAUACCGGAUAGGAGCUCCUGCUGCAUGGUGGGGGUUGGAAAGUUUCGGCGGUUGGGGAUGGACUCGAGGCUUAUCAGCUUGUUGGUGGGGUAGUGGCUUACCAAGGCUUUGACGGGUAGCCGGCCUGAGAGGGUGACCGGCCACAUUGGGACUGCGAUACGGCCCAGACUCCUACGGGAGGCAGCAGUGGGGAAUAUUGCACAAUGGGCGGAAGCCUGAUGCAGCAACGCCGCGUGCGGGAUGACGGCCUUCGGGUUGUAAACCGCUUUCGCCUGUGACGAAGCGUGAGUGACGGUUAUGGGUAAAGAAGCACCGGCUAACUACGUG
rnacentral:rRNA from 1 species